UUAAUUAAGAAGUGACGAUUUUGUUCUCUUCAACUCACUGGAUGGAAAUGGUGCUUUAUUCGGUGAUUUAUGCUUGAU